UAUUUAGUGAAUCAAGUUGGGAUGACAUUCUAAAUAAGGCACUCUCUCAAGAACAACAUCAACGAUAAACAUCACAGUUAUAUCUUUAAGGGCCUGUGAAGAACUAUUUUUUAUUUUCUGUUCCAAAUUAAUCCUAAAGAUAAAGUUUGAUUAAUUCUAUAUUGUUAAUAAUGGUGUUUUCUCUAAUCAUGUCCCAAGUUAAAGGCCAACUUGUCAUUUUGACUUGUUUUUCCUCUAUAAUCUUGAGAUUUACACAGUAUAAAUUGCUUCGACUGUUCAUGGUAUGUUUUUAAAACUUCAGAUUUUGAUUGUAUUACUAACUGCAAAGCAAUUCCAUUUUGUGAUAAUUAGUAUGCAUCUUACCCUUGAAUUUGACUUCAAAAAGUUUCUCUCUUUGUACUCUGGUCUGAAUAUCUCUCCUAAUUCAGAGGAGAAUGCAAGAUUGACCUGGAAAUAAAAUACAUUUUUACUUCACAUCCUUUUGGUCAUUUCUUCCUGGUUCUUGACAGUGUAAACAUAUCUACCCUUUUAAAAACUAGGCCUUUUUGAAAUGGGUUAUAUUAUGGAAGUGACUAUGGAGACCAGUGUGGCUGGAAAUUCAGGAAUAUGAAUUUGCCUCCAAACUUCUGGGAUUGAUAGCACAUACUACCAU
rnacentral:lncRNA from 1 species